rnacentral:rRNA from 1 species
CAGCAGCCGCGGUAAUACGUAGGUCCCGAGCGUUGUCCGGAUUUAUUGGGCGUAAAGCGCGCGCAGGUGGUUUAAUAAGUCUGAUGUGAAAGCCCACGGCUCAACCGUGGAGGGUCAUUGGAAACUGUUAAACUUGAGUGCAGGAGAGAAAAGUGGAAUUCCUAGUGUAGCGGUGAAAUGCGUAGAGAUUAGGAGGAACACCAGUGGCGAAGGCGGCUUUUUGGCCUGUAACUGACACUGAGGCGCGAAAGCGUGGGGAGCAAACAGGAUUAGAUACCCCCGUAGUCCCUGUCUCUUAUAC